rnacentral:rRNA from 1 species
UACGUAGGGUGCAAGCGUUGUCCGGAAUUACUGGGCGUAAAGAGUUCGUAGGCGGUUUGUUGCAUCGUUUGUGAAAACCAGCAGCUCAACUGCUGGCUUGCAGGCGAUACGGGCAGACUUGAGUACUGCAGGGGAGACUGGAAUUCCUGGUGUAGCGGUGAAAUGCGCAGAUAUCAGGAGGAACACCGGUGGCGAAGGCGGGUCUCUGGGCAGUAACUGACGCUGAGGAACGAAAGCGUGGGUAGCGAACAGG